GACGAACGCUGGCGGCGUGCUUAACACAUGCAAGUCGAACGGAAAGGCCCUGCUUUUGUGGGGUGCUCGAGUGGCGAACGGGUGAGUAACACGUGAGUAACCUGCCCUUGACUUUGGGAUAACUUCAGGAAACUGGGGCUAAUACCGGAUAGGAGCUCCUGCUGCAUGGUGGGGGUUGGAAAGUUUCGGCGGUUGGGGAUGGACUCGCGGCUUAUCAGCUUGUUGGUGGGGUAGUGGCUUACCAAGGCUUUGACGGGUAGCCGGCCUGAGAGGGUGACCGGCCACAUUGGGACUGAGAUACGGCCCAGACUCCUACGGGAGGCAGCAGUGGGGAAUAUUGCACAAUGGGCGGAAGCCUGAUGCAGCAACGCCGCGUGCGGGAUGACGGCCUUCGGGUUGUAAACCGCUUUCGCCUGUGACGAAGCGUGAGUGACGGUAAUGGGUAAAGAAGCACCGGCUAACUACGUGCCAGCAGCCGCGGUGAUACGUAGGGUGCGAGCGUUGUCCGGAUUUAUUGGGCGUAAAGGGCUCGUAGGUGGUUGAUCGCGUCGGAAGUGUAAUCUUGGGGCUUAACCCUGAGCGUGCUUUCGAUACGGGUUGACUUGAGGAAGGUAGGGGAGAAUGGAAUUCCUGGUGGAGCGGUGGAAUGCGCAGAUAUCAGGAGGAACACCAGUGGCGAAGGCGGUUCUCUGGGCCUUUCCUGACGCUGAGGAGCGAAAGCGUGGGGAGCGAACAGGCUUAGAUACCCUGGUAGUCCACGCUGUAAACGGUGGGUACUAGGUGUGGGGUCCAUUCCACGGGUUCCGUGCCGUAGCUAGCGCUUUAAGUACCCCGCCUGGGGAGUACGGCCGCAAGGCUAAAACUCGAAGGAAUUGACGGGGCCCCGCACAAGCGGCGGAGCAUGCGGAUUAAUUCGAUGCAACGCGUAGAACCUUACCUGGGUUUGACAUGGAUCGGGAGUGCUCAGAGAUGGGUGUGCCUCUUUUGGGGUCGGUUCACAGGUGGUGCAUGGCUGUCGUCAGCUCGUGUCGUGAGAUGUUGGGUUAAGUCCCGCAACGAGCGCAACCCUUGUUCACUGUUGCCAGCACGUCAUGGUGGGGACUCAGUGGAGACCGCCGGGGUCAACUCGGAGGAAGGUGGGGAUGACGUCAAGUCAUCAUGCCCCUUAUGUCCAGGGCUUCACGCAUGCUACAAUGGCUGGCACAGAGAGUGGCGAGCCUGUGAGGGUGAGCGAAUCUCGGAAAGCCGGUCUCAGUUCGGAUUGGGGUCUGCAACUCGACCUCAUGAAGUCGGAGUCGCUAGUAAUCGCAGAUCAGCAACGCUGCGGUGAAUACGUUCCCGGGGCU
rnacentral:rRNA from 1 species